rnacentral:rRNA from 1 species
AUGACUACUUGCCUCUCUGAUUUUAUCAAAGAUCAUUCCCUGGACUUUUUGUGUUUACAAGAGACUAAGAAGAAUAAGAUUACUCCUAGUUUCUUGAGAAAAAUAGAUACUUAUAACAUUUUUGAGUGGAAUUGGGUCCCUUCUAUGGGCAAGGCUGGAGGUAUGCUCUGUGGGGUUAAGAAGAACAAACUAGAAGUUGUUUCCUGGUCUUUGGGCAAGUUCAUUAUGCAAGUGGUCGUUUUUAUGUUGAAAAAAGUGUAUUGGGCCCUAUUAAAUGUGUAUGGUGCUGCUCACGAUGAGCAAAAGGAAGAAUUCCUCUAUGAGCUUGCCAGUUUUUGUAGCCAUCUUUCUGUUCCCUACAUAGUGGGAGGAGACUUCAAUAUCCUCAGACACUGUGGUGAGAAAAAUAAAAGGAUGGUUCCCUCACAAUAUGUUGAUAGAUUCAAUGCCAUCAUUAAUACUAUGUGCUUGAGGGAAAUCUUUAUAGAGGGGGGUUUGUACACCUGGUCCAAUAAUCAAAGUCACCCUACUCUGGAAAAACUUGACAGAAUCCUUAUGAGUAUUGACUGGGAGGAUUUGUUUCCUUUAGUUACUGUUAGGAAACUAGUCAGAGACCUGUCCGAUCACAAUUCUCUCCUACUCUCUACUAACAGUAAUCGCCCCAAUACCCCAAACCCCGUGAAUUCAGGUUGGAAAUGA